GCCUCGUCGCCUCCGACGGCGCCGCCGUUCCUCUUUCGUCUCGAGCUCACGCACGCGGCUCACGUCGCUCGCCGUCGACGCUUCCCGGCGAGGCCAUCCGCGGCCGCCGUCGCUUCUUCCCGGAGCCGCGCCGCCAACCCACCCCGUCUCCACACCCCCGCGUGGCACCCUGUCUUGCCCUCUCUCUCUAAGAUUUUCCUCGCCCGGAUUCUGCCAUGGCUGCUCAAUCACGAUGGCAUCAGUAUGCACACCCAGCCUUAG
rnacentral:lncRNA from 1 species